rnacentral:rRNA from 1 species
GUACACUCCUACGGGAGGCAGCAGUGGGGAAUAUUGGACAAUGGGCGCAAGCCUGAUCCAGCCAUGCCGCGUGAGUGAUGAAGGCCCUAGGGUUGUAAAGCUCUUUCACCGGUGAAGAUAAUGACGGUAACCGGAGAAGAAGCCCCGGCUAACUUCGUGCCAGCAGCCGCGGUAAUACGAAGGGGGCUAGCGUUGUUCGGAUUUACUGGGCGUAAAGCGCACGUAGGCGGACUAUUAAGUCAGGGGUGAAAUCCCGGGGCUCAACCCCGGAACUGCCUUUGAUACUGGUAGUCUUGAGUUCGAGAGAGGUGAGUGGAAUUCCGAGUGUAGAGGUGAAAUUCGUAGAGAUUCGGAGGAACACCAGUGGCGAAGGCGGCUCACUGGCUCGAUACUGACGCUGAGGUGCGAAAGCGUGGGGAGCAAACAGGAUUAGAUACCCGGGUAGUCCCAUGAU